CCUACGGGUGGCAGCAGUGAGGAAUAUUGGUCAAUGGACGAGAGUCUGAACCAGCCAAGUAGCGUGAAGGAUGACUGCCCUAUGGGUUGUAAACUGCUUUUAUAUGGGAAUAAAACGUUCCAAGUGUGGGAUUUUGUAUGUACCAUAUGAAUAAGGAUCGGCUAACUCCGUGCCAGCAGCCGCGGUAAUACGGAGGAUCCGAGCGUUAUCCGGAUUUAUUGGGGUGAAAGGGAGCGUAGGUGGGUUGUUAAGUCAGUUGUGAAAGUUUGCGGCUCAACCGUAAAAUUGCAGUUGAAACUGGCAGUCUUGAGUACAGUAGAGGUGGGCGGAAUUCGUGGUGUAGCGGUGAAAUGCUUCGCUCUCAC
rnacentral:rRNA from 1 species